GUCUGACUCUCUCUCAGUUUCUCCGACCCAUUUCUGCAUUUCUUUUCUGAUAUCUGCUUGGGUCAUGAAUAAGGUUGAUGACGGGUCGUCUCCAAUCGGGUCGGAGUCUUAUCGGACUCCGUCUCCGUUUAAUCGGAGCAAUUCGUCGAUUUGCUUCCGACCGCGCAGAGCUGCUGCCCCUGCCCUAAAAUCCCAACCCGGAUUUCUCGAUGACGUGGCCUUCAAUCUCAGUACGGUUUUCGUACUCUCUGUCCUAGAUUCCGAGUUUGUUCUCGAGGCCCUCAGGACAGAACGCGAAAAAUUCGCAGAAGAAUUGCAACGCCAGAAGAUCCGUACUCAUGCGGUGAUCUUCUGGCUUACAUUUUCUAUUUUUGAUUUUUUUUCUUUCUAUUUCUUAAUCCUUCUUUGUGUUUGGGGUACGUGUUUUUGCAGGUUACUAACCCAACAACGAUCCAAUUGAACAGCAACCAGAGGACGAGGAGAUGCUUGUUCCGGCCUCGGAUUUGCCUGAAAACAAUCACCAGCCCAUGGAUGUUGUUGCACAGCCUGAAAAUGCUAAUAAUGUGGAGAACCAACCAGUAGAAGAUCCUCCUUCAUCGAGAUUCACAUGGAGAAUUGACAACUUUUCUAGGAUGAAUACAAAGAAGCUUUAUUCUGACAUAUUCGUUGUUGGUGGCUAUAAAUGGCGUGUGCUUAUUUUUCCCAAGGGAAACAAUGUUGAUCAUUUGUCUAUGGCUGUGUUUGGGGGGGCUUUUUAGCUCCCCUGCUUAUAAGCAGAAGACCCAUAAGUGUUUGGUAAGCCAACUUCUCAUCAGCUUUCUCCAGAAGCUGCUGUGGCUUCCGUCGAAAAGCAGAAGCGGCCUCCCCCUUGCUUUUAAAAGCCAGAAGCCAGGAAAUCACUGUGGCGCUGGUUACUGUAGAUUAAUGAAAUUUUGAUAAUACCGGUCUCUAUCCUCUCUUGGUUGAGGCAAUUACUUGAUUGCCAUGAAACCCGUCUUGAUAGAUGAUGCCACAGCAAUCUCUCUCCCUCUCAUCACAGACGCUGCAUCAAUCUCUGAUCACAGACACCCCAUCAAUCAAUCUCUCUCCCUCUGACGCCGCCUCAUCUUGCCUUUCAUCUCGAUUUUGGGUUGGAAAUCGAAGCCUCACUCAAGCAAGGCUGCUUGGCGAUUUGAUUCAGUUCCGUUUUUGCUUGUUCCUUCAUUCUGCAUUCUUCAUUCUCUUCUGUCUAUUCCCCCUGUCCACCAUCACAGAUUCACAGGUCAGGAUGUCGUCCAUUUUGCUAAAAAUAUCUGGAACAAUACGUUUAAAAUACCAUUGGUUACCCUUUCCUCAACUCUCUCAAGGAGAAAUUUGUUUAAAAUGCGUUUAAUAUUUUUCUACUGGCGCUUAUUAAUCUCAGUAUGGAAGUUCUGGCAAGUAUAUGUUAGGAAAGCCUGGUUAAAUGAAUGACACAGGUUUCAAGCAGGUUGUGUGGAAGUUGAAUCCGUUUCUGUAUAUGUUGCUGUCACUGCACUACUAUUAAUUGCUCGUUUCUGGUGUUAAAAAGGUUUUCUGGAUGUCAUCAUUCAAGGCAGUGAUUAAACUUAGAAAUUGAUAAAAUUAUUUUAUAGGGAAAGUGAUAUUCAGAAUCUCAUUAUAUUCUCAUAUCUCACUGUUCUGUGGGAACAUGUCCAUGUGUUUUUCAACUUUUUGGUUACAUACUUUGUAUAGCUAGAGCAUCUCUAUAUGCUUGUAUUCCUUUCAAAUAUGCUUCCUGGUUUGAAGAAUGUAGAUACGGCAUCCUUUCACAUGUUACAGUUUUUACUCUGUCUGCACUUUGGAGAUUACAAAUGGAUAAUAUCAAUGGAGCUCCAUCACAUAAUUUUGUAACAUAUUUUGUGUGGAUAAGUGGUUUAAAGAGAUACAUGGGUAUGCUUGUUGCCAUCCCCUGCUUUUAUUUUUCAUCAUUAUCCUUCAUUUUCCUUUGUUUUAUACUAAAAGUCUCUUGGUUUCUUUUCCUACUGGAUAGGUGACCUUGGAGUUCUUGGAACUGGAAUACCAAUAGGAAAACUUGAUAUGUAUGUUGCUGCAGCUGGUAUUAAUUCAGAGUCAUUGGGAGAUCAAGCGGAAUACCAAGCAACGCAGCAAGUUAUAUUAUCUUUCAUCAUGUAAAACUUAGCUAGGAAAACUUGAAAAUUGAAAUGUAUGAAUGCAAGAACAAUGUUCCUUAAAUUCAGUAUUUGAUAAAUUGAUGUAUCACAAGGCUUUUGGUACAAAUAUUGAUCAUGGUUUGCAUUCAAUUUGAUUUCCAAUUGAUUA